rnacentral:lncRNA from 1 species
AGUGCUGGUGACUCAACCAGAGUUUAUCCCAGACUUCAUUUGGUGGAUCAAUCUGAAGAUCCCUUGGGAGUGGCUCAGAGGCUGAAUUCAGAGUUUGUAGCCUUGCAUUGAACUGGCUAGUAGACUCCCAUUUCUGUUGUGUCAAAGGGACUUCAGCAUUGUCAUCUUUGUCAGUAUCUGAACUGGUAUCAUCCUCAGUAUCAGAGUUUGCUUUUUCAUCUUCAGGAACAGGAUCAGCAACUUUCUUCAUUUUAUCCUGAGGAGAUUUGUCUUGUGCUUCAGACUGUGACUUGAUGGGUUCUUCACCAGUCUGAGCCAGAGAUUGUAAAGCUUCCACAGCUACU